CCUACGGGAGGCAGCAGUGGGGAAUAUUGGACAAUGGGGGGAACCCUGAUCCAGCCAUGCCGCGUGUGUGAAGAAGGCCCUCGGGUUGUAAAGCACUUUCAGUGAGGAAGAACGCCUGGUGGUUAAUACCCAUCAGGAAAGACAUCACUCACAGAAGAAGCACCGGCUAACUCCGUGCCAGCAGCCGCGGUAAUACGGGGGGUGCGAGCGUUAAUCGGAAUUACUGGGCGUAAAGCGCGCGUAGGUGGCUUGAUAAGCCGGUUGUGAAAGCCCCGGGCUCAACCUGGGAACGGCAUCCGGAACUGUCAAGCUAGAGUGCAGGAGAGGAAGGUAGAAUUCCCGGUGUAGCGGUGAAAUGCGUAGAGAUCGGGAGGAAUACCAGUGGCGAAGGCGGCCUUCUGGACUGACACUGACACUGAGGUGCGAAAGCGUGGGUAGCAAACAGGAUUAGAUACCCCAGUAGUC
rnacentral:rRNA from 1 species